rnacentral:ncRNA from 2 species
AUAUUGUCAAAGGGGAGCUGGUCAGAACCGGCUGAGAGGAGACGUAUUACCGUUUCGACCCGUUUUUAAACCUGAUUUGGAUAAUGCCAACGGAGGGAAUUGAUGCCAUGUAAUGA